CUCAAAUUUGAUCGCAUGCGCCAAGCACAUGCGUGAUUCGAUUUUUGAGGCAGAAUAAAUAUUCAGGAAUUUCUCACCUGAAAAUGACUGACCAAUUGCGGAAGAUACCUUCAAUGACUUUCAUUUCGGGUUCUGAUAAAAUUCUAAACAAGAAACUUUUGGAAAUACUCAAAUGUCCUAAAUGUGGAAGUUUUCUAAGGCCGCCAAUGUUUGUAUGCACCGAUGGUCAUAACUAUUGUGAAAACUGUUAUUUAAGGAAUUCUUUUAUAUGUCCUGGAUGUAAUACAGCUAAAACUCAGAAUAGGAGCAUUCAGCUAGAAAACAUACACAAUGCUUUAUUUUUUCGAUGUUGCUAUUCUAAGUUUGGUUGUAACAUGAUUUGUAGGGGAGUUAUUGUACAGAUGCACGAAAGUCAUUGUGUAUAUAAAAUAAGUAUGUAAUAUUUAAUAAAAUCUUUCAUUUA